rnacentral:rRNA from 1 species
UACGUAGGGUGCGAGCGUUAAUCGGAAUUACUGGGCGUAAAGCGUGCGCAGGCGGUGAUGUAAGACAGAUGUGAAAUCCCCGGGCUCAACCUGGGAACUGCAUUUGUGACUGCAUCGCUGGAGUGCGGCAGAGGGGGAUGGAAUUCCGCGUGUAGCAGUGAAAUGCGUAGAUAUGCGGAGGAACACCGAUGGCGAAGGCAAUCCCCUGGGCCUGCACUGACGCUCAUGCACGAAAAGCGUGGGGGAGCAAACAGG